rnacentral:rRNA from 1 species
ACGUAGGGGGCAAGCGUUAUCCGGAAUUAUUGGGCGUAAAGCGUGCGCAGGCGGUUUUUUAAGCGUGAGGUGAAAGGCCACAGCUCAACCGUUGUAAGCCUUUGGAAACUGGAGAACUUGAGUGCAGAAGAGGAGAGUGGAAUUCCAAGUGUAGCGGUGAAAUGCGUAGAUAUAUGGAGGAACACCAGUGGCGAAGGCGACUCUCUGGUCUGUAACUGACGCUGAGGCUCGAAAGCGUGGGGAGCAAACAG